CCACGCCGUAAACGGUGGGUGCUAGGUGUGAGCGGUAUUCCACGCCGUUCGUGCCGCAGCUAACGCAUUAAGCACCCCGCCUGGGGAGUACGGCCGCAAGGCUAAAACUCAAAGGAAUUGACGGGGGCCCGCACAAGCAGCGGAGCAUGUGGCUUAAUUCGACGCAACGCGAAGAACCUUACCAAGGCUUGACAUGCAGGGAAAUCCUCCAGAGAUGGGGGGUCCGCAAGGGUCCUGCACAGGUGGUGCAUGGUUGU
rnacentral:rRNA from 1 species